rnacentral:lncRNA from 1 species
AACACUUAUAUGUACAUAACGUCAUAAAAAUACUUGUUUUAAUUACCUCGCGCUGCCGUCCUUGAACUGCCGCGAACAGGAAAUUCUGGGAAUGGAGGACGGAGAGUUGAAUCGAUUCGUCUUCAACAAACCGAUCAGUGUGACAUCAAAACAUCGCGAGAACAACAGACAGCUCCGUGUGCGUUAGAAAUCCAUCUCGCGAUAUUGUAUCACUUCAGGUACGCGCCUACUGAUUUGUUGAUUCAAACGAGUUGUGAAUCAAGAAGCCUCUAAAGAUCCGAAUCAAACUGCAGCAGCACGCCACGAGGUUUUGCUCAGACUUUUGGGACGUUUGGAAUUACUCCGUCUUGUCACAAUGUAACACAUAGCAGCAAGACCCAUGGGAUUUCAUCAGCCACUCACCAUCAGAGUCCUCAGUGGAAGCUGAGAAGAGCAGAAGAGGAAGCCAAGCAAGAGAUGCCAGAAAAAAAGGGGGAAGGAAAUAAUGUGUUAUUUUGCUGUUUGAGUAUAGGCAGGCGCAGUGGGUAGCACAAUCGCCUCACAGCAAGAAGGUCGCUGGUUCGAGCCUCGGCUGGGUCAGUUGGCAUUUCUGUGUGGAGUUUGCAUGUUCUCCCCAUGUUAGCGUGGGUUUCCUCCGGGUGCUCCCACAAGUCCAAAAAUAUGUGGUGACAUUGGGUAAGGUAAAAUUGUCCGUAGUGUAUGUGUGUGAAUGAGUAUGUAUGGAUGUUUCCCAGUGAUGGGUUGCAGCUGGGUGGCAACACGGUGGCACAGUAGGUAGUGCUGUUUCCUCACAUCAAGAAGGU